rnacentral:rRNA from 1 species
GACGAACGCUGGCGGCGUGCUUAACACAUGCAAGUCGAACGGAAAGGCCACGUCUGUGGUGCUCGCUCGGGUAACGGGCGAGUAACACGUAAGUAAUCUGCCCCUGGCUGUGGUAUAGCCACCGGAAGCGGAGAUGAAUACCGACUAUGAAACAGUCUCGCAUGCGUGGGUGUGGAUGGUUUUUCGGGUGGGGAUGGGCUCGAGGCCUAUCAGCUUGAUGGUGGGGUAGUGGCUUACCAUGGCUUUGACGGGUAGCCGGCCUGGGAGGGUGACCGGCCACACUGGGACUGAGACACGGCCCAGACUCCUACGGGAGGCAGCAGUGGGGAAUAUUGGACAAUGGGCGGAAGCCUGAUGCAGCAACGCCGCGUGAGGGAUGACGGCCUUCGGGUUGUAAACCGCUUUCAGUACCGACGAAGCGUGAGUGACGGUAGGUACAGAAGAAGCACCGGCCAACUACGUG